rnacentral:rRNA from 1 species
UACGGAGGGUGCGAGCGUUGUCCGGAAUCAUUAGGCGUAAAGCGCGCGCAGGCGGUCCUUUAAGUCUGAUGUGAAAGCCCACGGCUCAACCGUGGAGGGUCAUUGGAAACUGGGGGACUUGAGUACAGAAGAGAAGAGUGGAAUUCCACGUGUAGCGGUGAAAUGCGUAGAGAUGUGGAGGAACACCAGUGGCGAAAGCGACUUCCUGGACCAGUACCGACGUUCAGGCACGAAAGCGUGGGGAGCAAACAGG